GCCUGCGAUUGGGACCAAUUGUUUAUCGUUGCGACGUUGACCAACCCGUUUUGACAAAAUCCCCAAAUCUAUUCGACCGAAAACAAAAUCCCUAAACCUAAUUCUUCAAACCGUCGUCGCCAGCACUCCUACGGUGCCAUAGCUGCCAUGAAAGAUGAGUAACAAGAGGGGAAAUGGACUACCAUGCUCCCAAUUUGAACGAAACAGAUGGGUUACCAGCAUUUUGACACUGCGAAGAUUUAUCGUUCUGAGCCGACAGCUCUAAGAAAUGCUUUGACAGAGGCAAUUCUUGAUGCGACAUUUUUGUUACAUCUAAAUUAUGGGGGAGUGAUCACCUAAGUACUGACAAGCGGGAAGGGAGUUCUGCACAGCAAAUUUGUAAUAUUUGUAGUGAAAUAGCUGUAGUGAAAUUUGUAAUAUUUUCUUGUAAUAAUUGUAAACGUGGACAAUGUAAGAAAAUGUCUGCUCUUUUUCUGUAGUGAGUAAA